AAACCAGCACCUCAAGUGGUCAGGAUGAUUAUUGGGCCUAAAGCAUCCGUAGCCUGUUCUGUAAGUUUCCGGUUAAAUCCAUUAGCUCAACUAAUGGGCUGCCGAAAAUACUGCAGAACUAGGGAGUGGGAGAGGUAGACGGUACUCGGUAGGAAGGGGUAAAAUCCUUUGAUCUAUUGAUGACCACCUGUGGCGAAGGCGGUCUACCAGAACACGUUCGACGGUGAGGGAUGAAAGCUGGGGGAGCAAACCGGAUUAGAAACCCGAGUAGUCC
rnacentral:rRNA from 1 species